CCCUUAGAUGUCCGGGGCUGCACGCGCGCUACACUGUAGAAAGCAGCGUGCUUUAAAACCUUUCCUGAAAAGGAUGGGUAACCCCAGCAAAAUUCUACGUGCUUGGGAUAGAGAUUUGCAAUUUUCUCUCUUGAGCGAGGAAUUCCCAGUAAGUGCGAGUCAUCAGCUCGCGUUGAUUACGUCCCUGCCCUCUGUACACACCGCCCAUCGCUACUACCGAUUGGGAAAAUUUUAGAGAGUCCUGGACUGAUGAUUGUUCGGCUUCACGGCCUUACUUUCGUCGGGAAAGAAUUCGAUAAUAUUUUUCUAGAGGAAGUAAAAGUCGUAACA
rnacentral:rRNA from 1 species